rnacentral:rRNA from 1 species
CCUACGGGUGGCUGCAGUGGGGAAUAUUGGACAAUGGGGGGAACCCUGAUCCAGCCAUGCCGCGUGUGUGAAGAAGGCCCUCGGGUUGUAAAGCACUUUCAGUGAGGAAGAACGCCUGGUGGUUAAUACCCAUCAGGAAAGACAUCACUCACAGAAGAAGCACCGGCUAACUCCGUGCCAGCAGCCGCGGUAAUACGGAGGGUCCGAGCGUUAAUCGGAAUUACUGGGCGUAAAGCGCGCGUAGGUGGCUUGAUAAGCCGGUUGUGAAAGCCCCGGGCUCAACCUGGGAACGGCAUCCGGAACUGUCAAGCUAGAGUGCAGGAGAGGAAGGUAGAAUUCCCGGUGUAGCGGUGAAAUGCGUAGAGAUCGGGAGGAAUACCAGUGGCGAAGGCGGCCUUCUGGACUGACACUGACACUGAGGUGCGAAAGCGUGGGUAGCAAACAGGAUUAGAUACCCUGGUAGUC